GAUGAAGAACGUAGCGAAAUGCGAUAAGUAAUGUGAAUUGCAGAAUUCAGUGAAUCAUCGAAUCUUUGAACGCACCUUGCGCUCUUUGGUAUUCCGAAGAGCAUGCCUGUUUGAGUGUCAUGAAAAUAUCAACCUUGACUUGGGUUUUGUGCUCUAGUCUCGGCUUGGAAUUGGGUGCUUGCCGCUUUUACGAGCGGCUCACCUUAAAUGUAUUAGCUGGAUCUGUCUUUGAGACUUGGUUUGACGUGGCGUAAUAAGUAUUUCGCUAAGGACAUUCUUCGGAGUGGCCUCGUUUCUAGGACGCUUGUCCGCUUUCCAAUACAAGUUCCACCUCGUGGACAUGACUUUUUAUUAUCUGGCCUCAAAUCAGGUAGGACUACCCGCUGAACUUAAGCAUAUCAAUAAGCGGAGGA
rnacentral:misc_RNA from 1 species